rnacentral:misc_RNA from 1 species
UUUCCGUAGGUGAACCUGCGGAAGGAUCAUUACCACGAAUGGAGCUGCCGCGGACGCUGAGCGCAAGCGAGGUGGUCGUGACAGUUUCCCAAAACCCAUUCCGUUUGGCGCGGGCUUUAAACCCCGCGCCCGACAGUGCACUCAUUCGUACCACAGGCGCUCGCCAGCCGUUUUUGCGAUAGCCGCGCUUCACCGCGUCGGCUUGGCUGGUUGCAGUCGUCUCAACCCAAACCAAUCGCAAAACACAAACCCAAUUCAAACCACACACCUCGGCAUGUAAACGAUGUUGCACCGCGGCUUACGCCACGGUACACUCACAAAAAACGCUUACAACUUUCAGCAACGGAUAUCUUGGCUCUU